rnacentral:tRNA from 8 species
UGGGGCGUCGUCAAGCGGUAAGACACAAGGUUUUGAUCCUUGCAUUCGGGGGUUCGAAUCCCUCCGCCCCAGCCA